UUAAUUUUUGAUACCAUAGCACCACUGGAUAGAGCUCAUCGAGACCUUUAUUUUGAUAUAAAGAACUCAUAUUCGCCCAAAAUGCCACUUACGCCCCUCUGGCUUCAAGCCCUCGAU